CGAAGCAUUUGUUUUCCACUCCUUGUGCACAUGUCCCAUGUGAGUUGUCUCCCAGUUCAUAGCUGGAGGAUUUUUACCUAAUAUUUCAUUAAGUAGUAUGACUACUGUGAUGACCUAGUAGUGACGUCAAAGGUCAAAGGGUUUGGCCCUGAGGUCAUAGGUCAGAGGGACCCCUUCCCACCCCAAGCCUUGGCUUCUUGAGUGACUGGCAGUGAGAGUUUCUCAUCAGGAAGACCCUGGAUAGCGUAAUGGGGGGAGAGGAGUACUACUGUGGAAAGGGCUUCUCAAAGCCUUGGUCUUGGGACUGUGAGCAAGUCAUUUAGUUUCUCUUGGCCACAGUGAGAUGGUAAUGACUAUCUCCCAGGUUUGCUGUGAAGAUCAGCUGAAGUAAUGUCCAUGAAUAUUAGGUUUGGAGUAGAAGCUCUGUUAACACUGGACACGUGUGUAUUCACUCCGCAUGGAGAAAUGGACACUGACCGUGGUAGGAGUGAAGAAGGGCAGGAGGAGACAGCUAGGAGAAAGCCUGUCCCAUGGAAAUCAACACCUUACAGAAGAGUUCCAGCUGAUGGAGGUAGAAGGAGUGAGGGAGAGAGAACCAACACUAGAACACCACCGUAGUAUUUGCUGCCGGCAGGGUCCCUCAGUGAAUUCUAAAAUUAACGGGUAGAAGUUUAAGGAGAAACAGGAUAUUUCCACAGCCUCCAAGCACUGCCCCCCGCCCCCCGGAUAUUUGCUGAUGACAAAGAGAAGAAUAAUAACUCCACAGUGGAAAACCUGGCAGGCCCUGCCUCACUGAACGAUGAAGGCCGGUAUCACAAUUAAUAAGACUUGCAGUGUCGUGUAUGUGCCCCCGCCAUGUGAUGUGCUGACCAGGGCACGUCACCUCUGUGGGGUCCUUCUGCCAAAUCACACAACACCUGACGCCUGACCAGGGCACUGCAACAGUGACAAGUCAUUGAAGACGAGAAAAGACCGAGGACCUGCCACAGGCUGGAGGAGACAAGGAGACGCUGAAUGCAGCGUGGGAUCCUGGUACAGAAAAAGGCGGUUCGGGGAAAAGCGGGGAAAUCUGAGCGUAGUUAGUACUGUGCCAGCGCUCACACUGUAGUCUCGAUGGCCAUGCCGUGGUUGCCGUGAGCCACUGACGUUCGGGAACGCUGGAGAAGGACACGUGGCAGCUCCCUGAACUGUCUUUACCGCUCCCCAUAAGUCUAAGCUGUUGCGCGGUUUAAAUGUCUAAUAUAUAUGUAUUAACUAUUUUACUCUAUGUUAUUUUAAUCAUUCUAUAUAAUAUAAAUGUUAGGUGUAUAACAUUGGUUGUAUUUCUAUUAUAUAUUACAUAUGAAUUGACAUGAGAAGAUAAGUCCAGCAUCAUUUAACUGGUAUCAUCAGGUAGUGAAGUAUUACAUGUAAAUGAAGUUUCCCAAAAUACCCAAUAUUUUCUUAUUUGACUUGCUGAUGGAAUAUUCCCACAGCACAGGAAUGAUCUUCUCACCUCAUCAGCCUUAGUUAUUAUACUCGGUGGUUGUCUAAGGGCUGGGGAGUCUGAGCAGGGUUUUAUGACUCCACACUCUGUGACUCCGAGAUCUUGGGUCUGAUUUUUACAGGUUUUUUGUUUUAUUUUAUUUAUUUAUUUUUGCCUCCCGUAUUCUCAGACUGUGCACUUUCUAUUCUUAAAGCUUCUGGGAUGCCUUUCUUUUUCUGUAACAAUUCCUGCUUCUCUUUUUCUCUAGUAUUUUGGUUGUAGAAAUCAUCUACUUGGAAGUGUUGAUGCUCAUGCUAACCCACUAGCUUAAACAAUGUCGCACUGCCCCCCCCAUUCCUGCUCCCUGGGAGAUGUCACAUGCACAGAUGGGGUCCAGGCUGCAGCUGCGUGGGCUUAAGCUCCCCUCUGUCACUCUCUGACAGUGAGACUCCAGGCAAGUCAUUUCUCUUCUCUGCCUCAGUUUCCUGUGUGUGGAAUGGAGCAAAUCAUAGUGUCUGCUUCAUGGGUGCUUAUGAGGACUGCAGGCAGAGAGCCGAGAACCUCAGGUGGGCCUCAGUAGGUCUGUUUGUUGUUACUGUUGCACAUUUCUGCCUGCCCCUUUCAGCCUGAGUUUUGAGCUUGGGAGCCAGUGUUGCUUCUCUUGGUCCUAGGACAGCUUACCAAAUAGUCACGUUGAGCAGACUAAACAGGCAAAGCCAGCGCUUUUCUGAUGUUUCCUCUUCGUUUCUCAGAAAAGAGGUUUCCCUGCUUUCUUCCUUGACAGUUAUGAAAAAGGACAGCUGUUGGCUUAGAAAUGAUUUAUCUUGUGAAGAGAAAUAGCCUUGAAGAAAAACCUAUUUUAUAGCUUUAUGCCAUAUAUUCUGAACAGAAUGUAGGGUGUGUGUAUUGAAAUGUAUUAAAAACAAAUGCAAAUGUG